CUAUUGCAAUGUGACUCCCGAAGAGAGUGAUCAGCUGCUCCUCGUAAUUCGCUAUGUUUCGUUUCAUGAUGUCCAUGCAGGGGCCUAAUAUCCUCUCAAACGCCUGCACGUCCAUCGCUGUGGAACACAAGUGAUCCUGACGUGUCCUGACUCUACGAUGUAGAAACAAUCUGCCAAAUCACCCUGUGAAAACAAGAAGAAAGAGUCAUUCAACUUUGGACUAUUAUGGGAGAAAGAACGUCAUACGGGCUUCAAAACAAUAUGAGGCGAGAGAGAUGAGAGGAUCGGCUGCUCUCCUCUCCCACACGCCCCCACUAUUCCUACUAUAAAUACCAGCGCAGAGAUGACAAGACCAGGAACUCCACCGUCUAGAUCGAUACUCCACACGCAGACGAGCGAGACCUGAAGUUUCAGGGCCAGGAACCCUACAGGAACCGUCUAGACUGAUCUAGCUCACAGCUCUAGAUUGUUUACAUCAAUCCAGGGCCUAUUACACAACGUUUGGUCCUUAAUUUCAAGUAUUCAGCUCAUCUGAUCUGCUAAAAAAAUCACAGAAAUAGAGGUCAAACAUUUUGUGUUUUGUCUACAUUUCUCUAUACUGUACAGAAUUCACUAUCAUUCAAAAUAUUGAAUAUUUUUUUUAAUGUUUCUGAAAGAAGACUCUUAUGCUCACCGGGGCUCCAUUUAUUUGACCAAAUAUACAGUAAAAACAGCAAUAUUGUGAAUUUUUUUUUUAAAUUUAAAAUAACUUUCUUUUUUGAAUAUAUGUUAAAAUGUAAUUUAUUUCUGUGAUCAAAGCUGAAUUUUCAGCAUCAUUACUCCAGUCGUCAGUGUCACACGAUCCUUCAGAAAUCAUUUUUAUAUGCUUAUUUGCUGCUCAAGAAACGUUUUUGAUGAUUAUCAAUGCUGAAAACAGUUCAUAUUUUUGUGGAAACCAUGAUACAUUUUUUUCAGGAUUCUUUGAUGAACAGAAAUCUUUUGUAACAUUAUGUCUUCACUACCACUUUUUAUCAAUUUAAUGCAUCCUUUCCAAAUGAAAGUAUUAAAAAUACCUUACUGAGACCCUGAACUUUUAGUGUAAGUCUACAUUUUAUGUCAUUCUUGAUCACAUCUUGUCUGAUCUGAUCUGUUUUCAGUCACAGAGUUCAAACCUGACAUGAAAUAAACCAGAUGGGGAACUACGUUUAACACUGAGUUUUUAUAGAAGCCUUUUUCCAUUACAAUAAAGUGCCUGACAGAUAUAUGUAGGGACGAUUUAUCUAUCUAUCUACAGAAUCACAUCAAUAUAAGGACUGAAUAUGCUCCUCUUCCUGACACUAUAAACUCAUCUCUUUUUAAUUGACCACCAAACUUCUACUUUUCUCCAUUACAAUCAUACUUCAUUUCCUAUUUCAGUCCGGUCUGUCAGCACAACACAUUAAAAUCCCUCUAACCGUCCUCACUUGUGGUUUAUAGCGAUCCACGAGAGACAGAACUUCACAGCAUCUAAAACACUUUAUUUCUGCAAACAAAGCUGAUCUUCCAUUAGCCAAUUAAACCAUUAGCUCUCUCAUUCACUCAGUGAGAGCAGUAAAGGAGUAAAUGAUAUGUUAACAAGACAAAAGGAACUCCGACCACAAAUGCAAGGUCAUUAACCAGAACUGGAUGUUCUGUAAGAUGGGAAUUUUAAGUAAACUCUGUAUACGUUAAAGAAAUAGUUCACCCAAAAAUGAAAAUUUGCUG